rnacentral:RNase_P_RNA from 1 species
CGGGCCGGUCAGGCGGCCGCUCCGGCUCCGGCCGGAGAGGAAAGUCCGCACUUCACAGAGCGCGGUAGCGGGUAACACCCGUCGCCCGAAUCGGUUCGCGCCGGCAAGGGCCGGAACAGGGGCACAGUGACGAUGCCCACGCCCCCUCGGGGGCGCGGGAGUGAAACGGCUAACCUCUACCGGAAGCAAGGCCAAGUCGGGACGCCACCAGGCUGCUCGCCCAGUCCCAGGUAGGCCGCACGAGGCCGGCGGCAACGCCGGUCCCAGAUAGAUGGCCGCCCACGACAGAAUGCGGCUUAUCGACCGGUCCGGCGC